GCGUGACUAACCAUGCAGUCGAGCGAAGCGCUUUACUUAGAAUUCUUCGGAAGGAAGAGUGGAGUGACUGAGCGGCGGACGGGUGAGUAACGCGUGGAUAACCUGCCUCAUACAGGGGGAUAACAGUCAGAAAUGGCUGCUAAUACCGCAUAAGCCCACAGUGCUGCAUGGCACAGUGGGAAAAACUUAAGGUGGUAUGAGAUGGAUCCGCGUCUGAUUAGCUGGUUGGUAAGGUAACGGCUUACCAAGGCGACGAUCAGUAGCCGGCCUGAGAGGGCGACCGGCCACAUUGGGACUGAGACACGGCCCAAACUCCUACGGGAGGCAGCAGUGGGGAAUAUUGCACAAUGGGGGAAACCCUGAUGCAGCGACGCCGCGUGAAGGAUGAAGUAUUUCGGUAUGUAAACUUCUAUCAGCAGGGAAGAAAAUGACGGUACCUGACUAAGAAGCCCCGGCUAACUACGUGCCAGCAGCCGCGGUAAUACGUAGGGGGCAAGCGUUAUCCGGAUUUACUGGGUGUAAAGGGAGCGUAGACGGCUGUGCAAGUCUGAUGUGAAAACCCGGGGCUCAACCCCGGGACUGCAUUGGAAACUGUGCGGCUAGAGUGUCGGAGAGGUAAGUGGAAUUCCUAGUGUAGCGGUGAAAUGCGUAGAUAUUAGGAGGACACCAGUGGCGAAGGCGGCUUACUGGACGAUGACUGACGUUGAGGCUCGACAGCGUGGGGAGCAAACAGGAUUAGAUACCCUGGUAGUCCACGCCGUCAACGAUGCAUACUAGGUGUCGGGAAGAAAGCUUUUCGGUGCCGCAGCAACGCAAUAAUAUGCCACCUGGGGAGUCGUUCGCAGAAUGAACUCAAGGAUUGACGAGACCGCACAGCGUGGAGCUGUGGUUAAUUCGAACAACGCGAGAACCUUACUGCUCUUGAA
rnacentral:rRNA from 1 species